AACAGCUAAACAGCUAAUCCCAGGUCUUCUUUUUUUUUCUCCUUUUGUACAAUAGCUUUUGUAGCAGGAAGAAAAUUAACAGCAGGUGAAAUCUUCUAAAGGGACAGAUCGAAUUUCAGUUCAACUCAAAACGGUUUAUUUCUCACCCUUAAUGGUCAGUGGAGGAUCCAGCCCCGAUAACAGUCUCCUCCAGGUUCAGCCAGCUUUGGGGGUGCAUUCAGUCUAAGGAUCAGCCUGGGGAGUUCAGUCAUCAUUUUGAAGACAGCUGCUUGGAUUGGGGUGAGCUUCCCAUCCCACGUCGGGUUUCUCUUUCACCGAUUAAACUUUGCCCCUUUUUCGAUCACUAUCUCAAAAAAAAAAAGAGGAGGAAAAUAGACCACUCAAACUAGAAAUGGGUCAGUGUCUUAAACCUGUGAAACUCUGGCUUCGACCUUGAGUCCUAAGAAACGUAUAGUGAUAUGAAGCUCCUGCAGCUGCAUCCCUAAUACUAAUUUAAAUAUUAAGAUUUCCAACUCAUUCAUUGUUUUGUUCUCAUUUUACUUGGGAUAUAAAUGGAAUUUUGGGACUUCCCUUUGAACUAAAAAAAGUUUUAGAUAAAGCUAAGAGAUUUUAAUGUAUGUAAUUUUUGGAGCUGUUUAUUCUCCUAGAUUGUAAGCUCCUUUUAGGCAAGGAUUGUGUCUACCAUCUCUAUUACACUCUGUCAAGCGCUUAGUACAGUGCUCUGCACACCUUCAGCACUCAGUAAAAUAUCACUGAUUAGAUUGAUCAUUUGCGACGUGUCUCUCGGCAAUAAGCUGAUUGAAAAUUCAGACUUUAAGGAGUUUGAGAGUUGGCACAGCAAACAAAAUAUUAAUAUGUAAAAUUUAAACAUAGAGGUACUCCUGCCUCCUUCCUCUCCCGACUCCAAUCCAUACCUCCUUCUAUGCCCCGGAACACUUUUUUACAAAACCAUUCAGUCC
rnacentral:lncRNA from 1 species